rnacentral:rRNA from 1 species
GAUGAACGCUGGCGGCGUGCCUAAUACAUGCAAGUCGAGCGAACAGAUGAGGAGCUUGCUCCUCUUACGUUAGCGGCGGACGGGUGAGUAACACGUGGAUAACCUACCUAUAAGACUGGGAUAACUUCGGGAAACCGGAGCUAAUACCGGAUAAUAUAUUGAACCGCAUGGUUCAAUAGUGAAAGACGGUUUUGCUGUCACUUAUAGAUGGAUCCGCGCCGCAUUAGCUAGUUGGUAAGGUAACGGCUUACCAAGGCAACGAUGCGUAGCCGACCUGAGAGGGUGGGCGGCCACACUGGAACUGAGACCAGGCCCAGACCACUACGGGAGGCAGCAGUAGGGAAUCUUCCGCAAUGGGCGAAAGCAUGACGGAGCAACGCCGAGUGGGUGAUGAAGGUCUUCGGAUCGUAAAACUCUGUUAUUAGGAAAGAACAAAUGUGUAAGUAACUAGGCACGUCUUGACGGUACCUAAUCAGAAAGCCACGGCUAACUACGUG